rnacentral:siRNA from 1 species
GCAGUUAAAAAGCUCGUAGUUG